rnacentral:tRNA from 1 species
AGGAAAGUAAGCAAGAACUGCUAAUUCAUGCACCCGUAUAUAAACCAUACGGCUUUCUU